UUUAAGCCAUGUGUGUCUCUUGUCGAGUCAUUGAAUGUUCAACCAAAUGUAAAUCUCCAAGCCCUGAAUGUCUACCCUGAACCUCGUCCCUGGAUUGUUCCUGCUUCCAGCCACGCCACCCCGGCCCCUCCGGGCGCCGGAUCACACUGGGAGCGGGUGAUGGAGCUGUCGGCCCACCUCCAGGCCACCUACUCCCUCCCGUCCCCUGGUCCUCUCCCUCCCGCCCUGUAGUGUUUCGAGGGCCGUCUGGAAUCCGGUCCUUGAGGAGGGGGUCCUGUAGCCGGCGUCCCAGUGUCCGGCACCCAGUGUCCUGCAGCCGGCGCCCCGACCCUGGCUCCCUGUGUCCUGCAGCCAGCGCCCCCGAGCCCGACUACCAUGUUUGUAGGCAACAUUAUUCCUGUUUCAUAAGAAAAAGGCUGUUAUUUAUGUAGAGGAGCCCACCGUUUGCCAACUUUGUCCGAUAUUCGGACCCAGAAACAGACCAAACGACUUGCAGGAGGAGGAUGUUUGUAGUUCUGCCGCCUACAUUUCGGCUAAAGUGUCAUCGCUGCAGUUAGCCUCCGAUGUCCUGUUGUUCAAACUUCAGUCUAAGUAUUCAGAUGACGUUUUAUAAGCAGUACUCCGAUGUUUAUAAGUGAACGAAGGUAAACACGAACCUCUGGUGAGUCACUGUGUUCCUCUCUUAAUGAGCACUUAGUGAAGACAAACAGGGAAACCACUCAUUGGUGUGAUAGAGGGAUACUACUGUAUGUACUGUAAAAAUCUCGUUUCUCAAAAGAAAUAAUAGAAAAUUAAAUUAGUUUCACAUCCUUUAUGGUAAAGAGAACUUUGUUUCUGGCUUUUUACGAGUCGUUCCUCCCAGUCUGUUAAUUGGAAUUUGGUUAAUCUUGUAUUCAGUCAUUUGACAGAUUUGUUGUUGAUGUAAAGAAUUCUCAAGAUCCACCGAACAUCUGUGAAUCCUUGUCCCUCAGUCCCACCACUCUGAUCAUUAAUCUGUCUGCUUCCAGAAUGAUUCAUGAAUUGUAUAUCAGGCAAAACUGUGAACAUUUAUUAAGCCAAUCACAAGUCACAAAAUUUUUUUUACACUGUGGUCUCUCACCAUGGAAACAUGUGGACAUACAUACAUGUUUUAACAUACUUAGUGUGUAACAUAUGUGGCAAUAAAUGGAUUCUGAUUCAAAUGUGAUUUAACAUCAAUGUUAUUCAACCCUCUACAGCAGGGACAGUUAGCCCAAUAACACCGAUGUAGGGCGCCAGAAAUGAAAUGGAAUUUCUGUCCCAUGUCGUGGGACUCAUGACAUCCUCAGAAAAAGAACUCUCAAACGUUUGACAGCCUCUAUAUGCUGACAGUGAGCAUUAGAAGCUCACCCUUGUAGGUGAGGAGUAUUUCUUCUCACCAUUCUGUAGGUGAGGAGUCCUUCUCCUCACCUACAAGGCACUUUCUGGUGAGGCACAGUCUUGUGGCUUGUAACACCUUAUUGCCCUACAAGGCAGCUGCGCUCCAUAGAUGCUG
ensembl:lncRNA